rnacentral:lncRNA from 1 species
UACAACUAUUGCUCCCUAUGACCGGAAAAAAUGUAAGUAAUCACCACACUAUAAAACAGCGGAUUAUUUUAGAGAGCUCUCCCUCUCUAAUAACCGUUUGAUCUAAACGUCAUGCUAUAUAAAUUCUCGAUCACCUAUGAUCUUAUAUGAUGUAAGAUAUAAGACUACUCCUAAACCAAGAUCCCUCCAGACUAAAAAAUAGAAAAUAGUAGAGUUACAAAUACUUUAUUUUUUGAUUUCUAGAUAAUCUUGCUUCCUUGGAACUGGUCCAUAUUUACGUAUCAGAGUUCAACCCCAACCCGCAUGUAUAGCUUUUUGAUUUUUUAGGUCCAAUUCGUUAGCACUACAACACGCCUUGCACGAUAAUAGUAAUAAUAAAUUAAUUGAUUGAAAAAGAAGGAAAAUAUGAAUGCACCGCCGCUUGUCGUAGAU